GAUAAGGGUACGCCGCAGUACGAUUCGUCUGCUUAGUGUAACGGACAGCUGAGUCAACCAAUCAAGAUUGAGCGUUGUUGUGCAUCGAAUGCAGUAGACAGCGGCUUGAGAACAAGAGAAACGCUUCAUGUAAGUGUGAAAACAGGAACGCUGUGACCGGAAGCACCACAAAAUAAUGCAAAACACAUGUA